GCGUACGGGUGCGGAACACGUGUGCAACUAGCCUUUACCUAGGGGGAUAGCCUUUCGAAAGGAAGAUUAAUACCCCAUAAUAUGUUGAAUGGCAUCAUUCGACAUUGAAAACUCCGGUGGAUAGAGAUGGGCACGCGCAAGAUUAGAUAGUCUGGUGAGGUAACGGCUCACCAAGUCUACGAUCUUUAGGGGGCCUGAGAGGGUGAUCCCCCCAACUGGUACUUGAGGCAACGGACCAAGAACUCCUAACGGGAGGCCAAGCAGUUGAGGAAUCAUUGGACAAUGGGUUGAGAGCCUGAUCCAGCCAUCCCGGCGUGCAACNGACCGAUGCCUAUGGGGCUUUGAAACUUUCCUUCUGUAUCUCACGGGAUUCAAAACCCCUUGAACCCCCCUCCCGGUGGAAGCGGGGCUCAACGGCUUGGAAANAGGGGUCACNCAANCAAACCGGAACAAUUCAAAGGCCCAACCCCGGGGCUCAACCUCUACCCGGCAUGGCCCCACGGANAAGCACCCCGGCGCGGGGUCAAAAGUCCACCGGGACAAGGGGGACUGGCGACCAACAGGACGGUUCCAAUAUACCCGGGGCAAACUGAGCAAAAC
rnacentral:rRNA from 1 species